AUGUCGCGGGCGUCGCUGUCGCCGUCGUCGUCGGGCGACGAGGAGGAGGAGGACGACGAGGGGGUCGACGGGUACCGCAAGGGCGGAUACCACGCCGUGCGCCCUGGGGACCAGUUCUCCGCCGGACGCUACGUCACCCAGCGCAAGCUCGGGUGGGGCAACUUCUCCACCGUCUGGCUCGCCUUCGACGUCGCUUCCCAGAAAUUUGUUGCUCUUAAGAUUCAGAAGAGUGCACCAGAGUUUGCUCAAGCUGCUCUUCAUGAAAUUGAGUUCCUCUCGGAGAUCACUAAGAGAGAUCCUUCAAACUGUAAAUGCACCAUCCAGUUGAUAGAUCACUUCAAGCAUGCAGGGCCAAAUGGGCAGCAUAUCUGCCUUGUCUUUGAAUUCCUUGGAGACAGCUUACUUAAGCUAGUACAGUACAACCGCUACAAAGGCAUUGGACUGGGUAGGGUGAAGGAAAUAUGCAGGUCCAUUUUGGUAGGUCUUGAUUACUUGCAUGGAGAGCUUGGAAUCAUCCAUUCAGAUUUGAAACUUGAAAAUGUCCUACUUGUUUCAACAAUCGAUCCCUCAAAGGAUCCCAUUCGCUCCGGACUUAAACCUAAUCUUGAGAGGCCUGAGGGGAAUCCUAAUGGAGAAGCUGUUCUUAACCCGAUUGAUAAGAAACUGAAGAUGAGAGCAAGGAGGGUGCUCGCAAAGCUUGCUGAGAAAAGAAAAUCAGCUGCAGAAUUUGCACGUUCAGAAAGAAGCUUGGAUGGGAUUGACAUGACAUGCAAGAUUGUAGAUUUUGGAAAUGCUUGUUGGGCUGACAAGCAAUUUACAGAUUUUAUUCAGACAAGGCAGUACCGGGCACCAGAGGUCAUUCUUGGUGCAGGAUACUCAUUUCCUGUUGAUAUGUGGUCGUUUGCGUGUAUUGCGUUUGAGCUCGCAACGGGCGAAAUGCUAUUUACGCCCAAGGAAGGGCAUGGGUACAGCGAAGAUGAGGAUCACUUGGCUUUAAUGAUGGAGGUCUUAGGAAAGAUGCCUAGAAAGAUUGCUACGAUGGGAACAAAAUCGAAGGAGUAUUUUGAUCGCCAUGGAGAUCUGAAGCGGAUAAGAAGACUGAAAUUCUCGUCUAUUGAACGUGUCCUAGUUGACAAAUAUAAAAUUCCCCAAUCAGAUGCUCGGGAAUUUGCUGAGUUUCUAUGCCCUUUACUUGAUUUUGCCCCAGAGAAGCGCCCGACAGCUGCACACUGUCUAAAGAAUAAAUGGCUUCAGCGUGAUGAUGGUAAGAAUGUUACCAACUUUGCUUCUAAGAGCAUUGAUGUAACAUGCAACUUCGGGAGCAUGCCUGACAGUUGUGCCCAGAGAAUUGAUGCAAAGGGGAACACUAAAAGCAGUAUCAACAGUAACACUGAGAAUGCUGAUGUGGUACGACCCACUGAAAGGAUUUCCAACAGCAAUGCCAAAAGCACUUACGUAAAUCCCAACACUGGAACAAUCAUGUAUAAGGAUGGAAAGAACUCUGAUGUAAAGCCCCACUCUGGUAGCAUCAUCACAAACAAAAAUGCCAAAAGCUCCGAUGAAAAGCCUUUCACUGGAAGCAUCUCCAACAAAGAUGACAAAACAGUUGAUACAAAGCCCAUCACUUGGAGCAGCACCAGCACUGACGACAAGAGUGUUGACACAAAGAGCAGCAUUGGAAGCGUUACCAACAGAGAUGCAAAGAGCAUUGAAGGGAAGCGAAACAUUCGAAGCGUUGUAAACAGUUAUAUGAAGAAUUUUGAUGCAAAGCGGAACACUGGAAGCAUAGCCAAUAGCGAAGUCAAGGACUUGGAUGUUAAGCCCAGCAGUGGAGAUAUUGUCAGUGUUGAUACCAACAGUACUAGUGCAAAGCCCAACACUGGAAGUGUUGAAAACAGUGAUGUCACGGGUACUAGUGUGAUGGCGAACACAGGCCCUGCCAACAGUGGUGCCAAGUUACAGACUAACACUGACAGUGUUGAUCAGGAUGACACAGAUUCAAAGCCAAAUGUUGGACGUGUUGCGGCAAGCAUACAGAGGCUGGAGAGCAGCAUGAGUAAGGUGCAAAUCGGGAGAUAUCGAUGA
rnacentral:rRNA from 1 species